UCCCGGACCGUAUAUGAUAAUAUAACGCAAAAAUGUGUCCGCCGACUGUUUACCUGCAAGGUCACCGCUAAAUGACCACCCCUUUCAGUCUUCACCCCGUUUUUGUAUAAUGUUUAAUAUAACGUAAACACCCACAUACUUUUGUCCGACGACUGUACCCUAACCUACAAAAGAUCACCGCUGAAUGACCACAACCACCCUUUCAGUCGUCACUCCAAUGUAUAGUCAUACAAAACCAUGACGUCUCCGUGUUUAAAGUAUUUUAAAAUGUCGUGUACCAGCAGCCAAGUGUCUACUAUAAAUACACCAGACAUAUCAGCAGGAUUUAUUGAUUUUUUAGCGAGUGGAGAGUUUGAUGAAAUGCUAUCAAAUACACCAAGACGAGUCUUUUAUAACUCGUUAUUAAGCCAAGAAGAAAAUAUAUCUGUUGGCGAUGAACAAAAUGACCAACGAACAGAUGAUUAUAAUUUUUAAAAAUUGUCAAUAUGUUUGUGAUGACUCGAGGUUUCCUCCACACAUUUGGGCAUUACAUUCUGGAACGAUAGCAGUAGCACAAACAACAAAUUCCGUCAAAUCUUUUCAUUUACAUUUCAAAGAUAACUUCAAUAUCUACGUCACAUAUAUUCACAUUCAAAAAACCACAACUUAUUUAAUGUUUUAUCAGAAGUAGGUAUAAUAAAAUAUUUACAUUAAAAUUAGAAGCGUAUAGGCACACAGACAACCAGGAAACAUACUUUAAUCUGUUAGAAUUCUAUUAAAUGAAAUAAAGAGAAAGAGAAAAAACCAGAUUUAAUUUUGUACAAUUUGUAGGUCAUUACUUUAAAAAUUGUUGUUUUUGACUAAUAAUUAUUUUUAUUUUUUUUUUAAUUAUUUAUUUAUACGCCUCCACUGUUAAGGUUAUUGCAUAACUAAUUAUUUAUUAUUUAAAUUAUUAGUUAUUAAUUAUUAUUAACUGAUUCUAUACGAUUUUAUAUAUUGUGUUCAUAUUUAAUUUAAUAUUAUCGUGGCUUUAGUGAAUUAAUGAAUAUGAGAAUUACAAUAAUUUGAAUUUAAAAUUAUAUAAUUUGUACAUUUAGUCUAAAGCCAAUCAAAUUUCUAACAUGACGUUUAUUUUUACUUACAAAUGAAUAAUUCAAUACAAGCAUUGUUUUUUUUUAAAUUUACAGGUUAAGCAACAACCAAAAAUAAUUGAUGCUAUUGUAUAUUUAUAAAUUAUAAUUGUAUUGCUAAAUUAGGUAAUAUACUAAAUGGCAAAUUAUAUUUAAACUUAAUAAUUUUUUUCAAAAUAAUGUUCAUGACUUUAUGCUUUUAGAUUUUUUAUAUUAUAUCCAAGGUAGUUAUAACUUAUAAUACGGCAUGGUAAUGCAACUUCACAUAAUCGAAAUUUCGAUUGUUGUUUAUAAUCGUUGCCGUAACAAAUUCAUACUGCCAGUAUAUGGUGGAACCAAACAUAUUAAAGGAAUAUAAAGCACGAUACUUGAAUCUUGUUAUCUUAUAGUAUAUUUUUUAUUAAUUUGUAACAUCCAGAUAAGUACAUACUAUUUAAUAUUAAUUAUAUCUUAAUUAUUUAUAGACGAUAAUAGUUUAUUUUAUACUAAUUAGGUACUUACACUAUAUUAUCGGUAUUUAUUUAUUAAUUAUUAUAUUUAACGGUCGAGGCCGAUUACAUUAAGUAGGUAAUAUGCCAUAUGGAAAUACAUAAAACAACCAUGUACCUAUAGAGUAUAUUAUAGAGUACUUGAUUUUGUGUAAGGUUCCAUUUACAUUUAAGUGAUCAAAUUAUUAAGGUAAACAUUAAAAGAAUCAACAGAAUUAGUAAAUAUUCUAUCAAUGUUAAAAUUGUUUACAUGUUGCAAUUUAUUAUUCUAAUCAGUGGUGGCUUAAGGAGGGGUGGAGGCAAGGAUCGUGCCCCUCAUAUUCCAAAAAAAUAAAUAAAAAGAACAGGGGAAUGGUAGGUACCAACUAUACAAUUUAAUUUAAUAUAAUAUACGAUUUUGUUUUUAGGGUACCUAUAUUAUAAUAUUAUAUUUCGGCGGUUCUUACAAUAACACGAGAUGUUUUGUAAAAAAAAGGUGUUAAAAAAAAAUUUGAUAAGGGGGUCUAUGAUUUCUAAAAAUCUUUCAUCAGGAAUUCGUGAUCUACAAAUGAUUAAGCUGUUAUAUUAUAUUAAAUAUUAAUAUAGGUACUCGAUAUCGUUUAAUAUUGUAAGCUCUCUCGUUUUGUAGUCGUUAUCUUAUAUUUUCGUGUACCUAGUACGCUAAACGUUAGUACGUAGUACAUACGUGCAUAGGCGUAAACAGGGGGGCUAGAGGGCUUUAGCCCCCCCCCCAAAAAAAAACUAAUGAUUUAAUUAUUAUAAUUUAAAAGCAUCAUAAGAGUAUAGACUUGAGCUUCAGCCCCCCCACCCCAAAUUUCAAACAUUAUAUUUACGCCACUGCAUACGUGGUUUUCAAACAGGGACUCUCGGGUUCUCUAUUUAUAAUUCUAAUUUGGUUAAUUUAUGAUCGUUAAUAUUAUGUUUGACGACUGUCAUCGUGUUUAGAUUUCAAAGUAAUUUAUUGUUUCAAUGCUAUUGUAGCUGUGAAUCAGAAACCACAGAAAGAUCCUUUUCAACACUACGACGGCUUAAAAUAUGGUUGACUACAACACUCCAGGCCGUAACUAAAAACAUAUUUCGGGGGAUCCAAAAUUUUUUUAAUAUGGAUACUACGA